AUUGUGCCUGUGAUGGUUUUAAAUAUACUCCGAGCAAUUUGCUAUGAAAACAUUUUAAUUCUGAGGCACUUC